rnacentral:rRNA from 1 species
GUCGAGAAUCUUUCACAAUGGGGGCAACCCUGAUGGAGCGACGCCGCGUGGAGGAUAAGGUCUUCGGAUUGUAAACUCCUGUCAUGCGUGAACAAGGUUGCUUGGUUAAUACCUGGGCAAAUUGAUGGUAACGCAAGAGGAAGAGACGGCUAACUCUGUGCCAGCAGCCGCGGUAAUACAGAGGUCUCAAGCGUUGUUCGGAAUCACUGGGCGUAAAGGGUGCGUAGGUGGCGUGGCAAGUCAGAUGUGAAAGCCCGGGGCUCAACCUCGGAACUGCAUCCGAUACUGCCAUGCUAGAGUACUGGAGGGGUGACUAGAAUUCUCGGUGUAGCAGUGAAAUGCGUAGAUAUCGAGAGGAAUACCAAAGGCGUAGGCAGGUCACUGGACAGUUACUGACACUGAGGCACGAAGGCCAGGGGAGCGAACGGGAUUAGAAACCCGAGUAGUCC